rnacentral:rRNA from 1 species
CACGUAGUUAGCCGGUGCUUCUUUACCCAUUACCGUCACUCACGCUUCGUCACAGGCGAAAGCGGUUUACAACCCGAAGGCCGUCAUCCCGCACGCGGCGUUGCUGCAUCAGGCUUCCGCCCAUUGUGCAAUAUUCCCCACUGCUGCCUCCCGUAGGAGUCUGGGCCGUAUCUCAGUCCCAAUGUGGCCGGUCACCCUCUCAGGCCGGCUACCCGUCAAAGCCUUGGUAAGCCACUACCCCACCAACAAGCUGAUAAGCCGCGAGUCCAUCCCCAACCGCCGAAACUUUCCAACCCCCACCAUGCAGCAGGAGCUCCUAUCCGGUAUUAGCCCCAGUUUCCUGAAGUUAUCCCAAAGUCAAGGGCAGGUUACUCACGUGUUACUCACCCGUUCGCCACUCGAGCACCCCACAAAAGCAGGGCCUUUCCGUUCGACUUGCAUGUGUUAAGCACGCCGCCAGCGUUCGUCCUGAGCCAGGAUCAAACUCU